rnacentral:rRNA from 1 species
AGCGAACGUUUGCGGCGGGCUUAACACAUGCAAGUCGAACGGGCUGUUCCUUCGGGGGCAGUCAGUGGCGCACGGGUGCGUAACACGUAGGUAAUCAACCCUCUGGUUGGGGAUAACACUUCGAAAGGAGUGCUAAUACCCGGUAUGGCGCAGCGGUCUUCGGAUCGCGGCGAGAAAGACCCGCAAGGGUUGCCAGAGGACGAGCCUGCGGCCCAUCAGCUAGUUGGUGAGGUAAAGGCUCACCAAGGCGACGAUCUGUAGCGGGUCUGAGAGGAUGAUCCGCCACACUGGAACUGAGACACGGUCCAGACUCCUACGGGAGGCAGCAGUGGGGAAUUUUGGACAAUGGGCGCAAGCCUGAUCCAGCCAUGCCGCGUGAGUGAAGAAGGCCUCGGUUGUAA